CCUACGGGGGGCUGCAGUGGGGAAUAUUGGACAAUGGGGGGAACCCUGAUCCAGCCAUGCCGCGUGUGUGAAGAAGGCCCUCGGGUUGUAAAGCACUUUCAGUGAGGAAGAACGCCUGGUGGUUAAUACCCAUCAGGAAAGACAUCACUCACAGAAGAAGCACCGGCUAACUCCGUGCCAGCAGCCGCGGUAAUACGGAGGGUGCGAGCGUUAAUCGGAAUUACUGGGCGUGAAGCGCGCGUAGGUGGCUUGAUAAGCCGGUUGUGAAAGCCCCGGGCUCAACCUGGGAACGGCAUCCGGAACUGUCAAGCUAGAGUGCAGGAGAGGAAGGUAGAAUUCCCGGUGUAGCGGUGAAAUGCGUAGAGAUCGGGAGGAAUACCAGUGGCGAAGGCGGCCUUCUGGACUGACACUGACACUGAGGUGCGAAAGCGUGGGUAGCAAACAGGAUUAGAUACCCCAGUAGUC
rnacentral:rRNA from 1 species